ensembl:lncRNA
AGCUGACCUCCUCCACACUGUGCUGUUGCAGAUCCUGCAAACUCAACUCAGAUACUCACCAAAGCUCUAAGGGGUCUCACCAUGACCAAGCUACUAUUCAUCUCAGCCUUCAUGGCAGUACUUGUCAUCAGUGUGGUGGGUUUUCGUGUCCCAAGGCGUGCUGAGUGGGUACCCCACGUGGAAUCAAUCAAUAUAUGUCCAGACCAUGGACCUGGCUGGCCAGAUAGUUGGAAAAGAGAACCUUAAAGCUGCUCUAGAUACAACAACUGAAACAACUUUCAGUCUGACAGGCGCAGCAGCUAAUCUUGCAGAGAAAAUUUUCAAAGCUCUCUUUACAAACUAACGGCUUCACUGUCUGUGACGUCCCCAUCUGCGUGGAAUGAACACGCUCAUCAGUCUUUUACGAAGUCCAACCAUUGUGUGGAAGCUUAACUGACCAAGAACAAAAGGAGUUUUGUCUCUCUUUACUUGUGUACUAAAAAUGAUCUGAUGGACUGCAUGGUGGCCAUUUUUCUUUGACUCUUGAAAUGUACCAUCCCACAUUCAAUCCCCAAAAGACAUUUUAAAUGCUGUAACAAAAG